UAGGGAAUCUUCCGCAAUGGGCGAAAGCUUGACGGAGCAACGCCGCGUGAGUGAUGAAGGUCUUCGGAUCGUAAAACUCUGUUAUUAGGGAAGAACAAAUGUGUAAGUAACUAUGCACGUCUUGACGGUACCUAAUCAGAAAGCCACGGCUAACUACGUGCCAGCAGCCGCGGUAAUACGUAGGUGGCAAGCGUUGUCCGGAUUUAUUGGGCGUAAAGCGAGCGCAGGCGGUCAAUUAAGUCUGAUGUGAAAGCCCCCGGCUCAACCGGGGAGGGUCAUUGGAAACUGGUUGACUUGAGUGCAGAAGAGGAGAGUGGAAUUCCAUGUGUAGCGGUGAAAUGCGUAGAUAUAUGGAGGAACACCAGUGGCGAAGGCGACUCUCUGGUCUGUAACUGACGCUGAGGUUCGAAAGCGUGGGUAGCAAACAGG
rnacentral:rRNA from 1 species